rnacentral:rRNA from 1 species
UACGUAGGGGGCUAGCGUUGUCCGGAAUCAUUGGGCGUAAAGAGCGUGUAGGCUGCUUCGGUAAGUCCGCUGUAAAAGUCAAAGGCUCCGAACCUUUGAAUGGUCAGUGGAUACUGCCGGGCUAAGAGUCCGGAAGAGGCGAGGUGGAACUCCUGGUGUAGCGGUGGAAUGCGCAGAUAUCAGGAAGAACACCAACGGCGCAAGGCAGCUCGCUGGGACGGUACUGACGCUGGAGACGCGAAAGCGUGGGGAGCGAACAGG